UACAGAGGGUGCAAGCGUUGUUCGGAAUUAUUGGGCGUAAAGAGCUCGUAGGCGGUCUGUCACGUCUGCUGUGAAAACUCGGGGCUUAACCCCGGGCCUGCAGUGGGUACGGGCAGACUAGAGUGCGGUAGGGGAGACUGGAAUUCCUGGUGUAGCGGUGAAAUGCGCAGAUAUCAGGAGGAACACCGGUGGCGAAGGCGGGUCUCUGGGCCGAUACUGACGCUGAGGAGCGAAAGCGUGGGGGAGCGAACAGG
rnacentral:rRNA from 1 species